AAUGUUGUGUGAGAAAUCUCGAGAGAUUGGUCUAAUUUUUGUGAAAAAGUGAUAAAGUGAAAAAGCCAACAUAAAAUCGGGAGAGUUGCGCUGCUGUAUAUACUGUGGCAAGUCCUUUUCGCGUUCGCAACUUUCGGCCAUCGAGUGCGCCAUCUCUAUCUCGCUCGUACUCGAUGCCGAAUUUUGCCAAACGCAGCACGUCGAACCUUCUUCUCGGAUCCCACAUGCAUCACUGAAAUUUGAAUCAUAGCUGCGACAAGUCGACACAUCUGAUUUUAGUAACUAUUUUUAAGUGAGAUUUGAUAAUUUAUUUCAAGAAGCAAUAUAAGUUUCGCCAAUCUCGGUGUUAGAAUUACAUUAAAAAUAUUAAUAAUUGAUAAUGGAUUGAUUAUUAGAAAGUUUUGUUGGAGGACAAGAAGAGAUCGUACAGGAAGUUGAGGAACAAACUGACCAGGAAGAAGCUGAGAUAAUAGAAAGAAAUAUAGAGGGCAGUUUGGACAAUAGUGAUUGUCCGAUAAACUUGCAAGUGAGGAAAGAUCGCAAUAAAAAAUUUCUCAUAGAGGAAAUGACCACCUUUUUGGAAUUUUAAAUUGCACAUUUCCAAAAGAGAUGCCCGUACUAAGGAGAAACUGUGGAAAGAAAUUGCUAACAGCAUAAAAGGAGAAAUGACUGUAAGUAAUAGAGAUAAAAAAUGGAAGACAUUAUUCAAUAUUCAGAAGACUUUGUAAAACUCACAAACCGAGAGUGAUUCUACGGCUGCU